rnacentral:rRNA from 1 species
AGGAUGAACGCUGGCGGCGUGCCUAAACAUGCAAGUCAUACGGUCUACCUUCGGGUAGACAGUGGCAAACGGGUGAGUAACACGUGGGAACACGCCUUCGAGUGGGGAAUAACGCUGAGAAAUCAGUGCUAAUACCGCAUAUGGUCUAACGACUAAAGCAGUAAUGCGCUCGGAGAGUGGCCCGCGUCCGAUUAGCUAGUUGGUGGGGUAAUGGCCUACCAAGGCGGUGAUCGGUAGCUGGUCUGAGAGGAUGGUCAGCCACACUGGGACUGCGAACGGCCCAGACUCCUACGGGAGGCAGCAGUUAGGAAUUUUCGGCAAUGGACGAAAGUCUGACCGAGCGACGCCGCGUGGAGGAUGAAGCCUUUCGGGGUGUAAACUCUUUUCUGCGGGAAGAUAAUGACGGUACCGCAGGAAUAAGCACCGGCUAACUACGCGCCAGCAGCCGC